UUUAAGGGCUGACCACCACCAAGGCAGCAUCUCUUGGAGGUUGCUCCUUGGUUGAGGUUGCCCCAUUUUUUCCAGCCAAGGCACUGAUAUCAGUGUUGUUCGAAUGCACAUCGGUGGUCUCCAGCACUUUGUAUGGCUUGGUUUGCAGUGGAACUCUGUGUCAGUGUUACCCCCAGUGAGGCAAUUGAAAAAACAACUUUUUCACUUGCCCCAAGAGACAUCAAGACUUGAGAUCGAUGCUCCUGAAUACAUCUUCCUGUUGGUCCUUGAAGUAUUUCUACUCGGGGUGGUAUUCACUAGCAAGUUAGAACUGCAUGAGGAGUUUAAGACUCAGAAUGAAACGCAUCAGCCUCCUUUCUUACCUUUGCUGCUGUGCAAACAGUACUAUACUGAGAAUCAGAGAUCCUGGUGGGAUGCUGCGUGUACUCUUAUGCGGAAAAUAAACACGUCUUCCAGCCUAUGAAGAAGAGGCAUCUAUAGCAUUUGCAGUGAUGGAUGCAGUUGAAGGCGAAACUGAUGAUGCUUUCCGAGCACUUGAAGCUAUGAAGAAUGUGGUUUCAUCCUGGAAUCUUGCUGAGGUUGAGUCCUAACUUGCAUUACCCCAAAUGCUUUUUUGUUCCUUGCA